UAGGGAAUAUUGCACAAUGGGGGAAACCCUGAUGCAGCAACGCCACGUGUGGGAAGAAGCAUUUCGGUGUGUAAACCACUGUCGAUAGGGAAUAAUGACCGCUUUCGGGCGGUUUGAAUGUACCUAUAAAGGAAGCACCGGCAAACUUCGUGCCAGCAGCCGCGGUAAUACGAGGGGUGCAAGCGUUGUUCGGAAUCACUGGGCGUAAAGGGAGCGUAGGCGGAACUCCAAGUCGGUCGUACAAUACCGGGGCUCAACCCCGGACCUGCGGUCGAUACUGGGGCUCUUGAGUUAUUUAGAGGCAGGCGGAAUUCCAGGUGUAGCGGUGGAAUGCGUAGAGAUCUGGAAGAACACCAAUGGCGAAGGCAGCCUGCUGGGAAUUAACUGACGCUGAGGCUCGAAAGCGCGGGUAGCAAACA
rnacentral:rRNA from 1 species